UACGUAGGUGGCAAGCGUUGUCCGGAUUUAUUGGGUUUAAAGGGUGCGUAGGCGGUCCUAUAAGUCAGUGGUGAAAUACGGCAGCUCAACUGUCGAGGUGCCAUUGAUACUGUAGGACUAGAGUACUGUUGAGGUAGGCGGAAUGGACGGUGUAGCGGUGAAAUGCUUAGAUAUCGUCCAGAACACCGAUAGCGAAGGCAGCUUACUAAAGAGUAACUGACGCUGAGGCACGAAAGUGUGGGGAUCAAACAGGAUUAGAA
rnacentral:rRNA from 1 species